rnacentral:rRNA from 1 species
UGCCAGCCGCCGCGGUAAUACGGAGGGGGCAAGCGUUGCUCGGAAUUACUGGGCGUAAAGCGAGCGUAGGCGGUUAAUCAAGUUGGUGGUGAAAGCCCAGAGCUUAACUCUGGAACUGCCAUCAAAACUGGUUAACUAGAGAUUGGUAGAGGAAAAUGGAAUUCCUAGUGUAGAGGUGAAAUUCGUAGAUAUUGGGAAGAACACCAGUGGCGAAGGCGAUUUUCUGGGCCGGUACUGACGCUGAGGAGCGAAAGCGUGGGGAGCGAACAGGAUUAGAUA